rnacentral:rRNA from 2 species
GCGGGGUGCCUAUACAUGCAAGUCGAGCGGACAGAUGGGAGCUUGCUCCCUGAUGUUAGCGGCGGACGGGUGAUUAACACGUGGGUAACCUGCCUGUAAGACUGGGAUAACUCCGGGAAACCGGGGCUAAUACCGGAUGGUUGUUUGAACCGCAUGGUUCAGACAUAAAAGGUGGCUUCGGCUACCACUUACAGAUGGACCCGCGGCGCAUUAGCUAGUUGGUGAGGUAACGGCUCACCAAGGCGACGAUGCGUAGCCGACCUGAGAGGGUGAUCGGCCACACUGGGACUGAGACACGGCCCAGACUCCUACGGGAGGCAGCAGUAGGGAAUCUUCCGCAAUGGACGAAAGUCUGACGGAGCAACGCCGCGUGAGUGAUGAAGGUUUUCGGAUCGUAAAGCUCUGUUGUUAGGGAAGAACAAGUGCCGUUCAAAUAGGGCGGCACCUUGACGGUACCUAACCAGAAAGCCACGGCUAACUACGUGCCAGCAGCCGCGGUAAUACGUAGGUGGCAAGCGUUGUCCGGAAUUAUUGGGCGUAAAGGGCUCGCAGGCGGUUUCUUAAGUCUGAUGUGAAAGCCCCCGGCUCAACCGGGGAGGGUCAUUGGAAACUGGGGAACUUGAGUGCAGAAGAGGAGAGUGGAAUUCCACGUGUAGCGGUGAAAUGCGUAGAGAUGUGGAGGAACACCAGUGGCGAAGGCGACUCUCUGGUCUGUAACUGACGCUGAGGAGCGAAAGCGUGGGGAGCGAACAGGAUUAGAUACCCUGGUAGUCCACGCCGUAAACGAUGAGUGCUAAGUGUUAGGGGGUUUCCGCCCCUUAGUGCUGCAGCUAACGCAUUAAGCACUCCGCCUGGGGAGUACGGUCGCAAGACUGAAACUCAAAGGAAUUGACGGGGGCCCGCACAAGCGGUGGAGCAUGUGGUUUAAUUCGAAGCAACGCGAAGAACCUUACCAGGUCUUGACAUCCUCUGACAAUCCUUAGAGAUAGGACGUCCCCUUCGGGGGCAGAGUGACAGGUGGUGCAUGGUUGUCGUCAGCUCGUGUCGUGAGAUGUUGGGUUAAGUCCCGCAACGAGCGCAACCCUUGAUCUUUAUUUGCAGCAUUCAGUUGGGGCCCCUCUUUAAGGUGACCUUGCCGGGGGUGAACCAAACCCGGGAGGGGAAGGGGUG